rnacentral:tRNA from 1 species
GGGGUUGUGGCUCAGCGGUAGAGCACUCACCUAGCAUGUGCAAGGCCCUGGGUUCGAUCCUCAGCACCA